rnacentral:rRNA from 1 species
GACGGAGGGUGCAAGCGUUGUUCGGAAUUACUGGGCGUAAAGGGCGCGUAGGCGGUCUGUUAAGUUCGGUGUGAAAGCCCCCGGCUCACCUGGGGAACUGCGCCGGAAACCGACAGACUCGAGUACCGGAGAGGAGGGUGGAAUUCCUGGUGUAGCGGUGAAAUGCGUAGAUAUCAAGCGGAACACCAGUGGCGAAGGCGAGUCCCUGGACAACUCCUGACACUGAGGCACGAAAGCUAGGGGAGCAAACAGG